AAAAAAGAAGAAAGCGACAACAGAAGAAAGAGCACAGCAAGACAGAGGGGGAGGGGAACCGAGAAAGGGAAGCUCGCUGGAGAGAGGGGAGUCGGAGAGGACUUGCCGCCUGUACUCUCCACGGCUGCUGCCGCCCGACCAACCGCGACCACCGCUGUCUCACCGGAGCCCAGAUCUGGAGUAAAGGCGCCGCGUCAAGAAGCAAUGCAGUAAAGGGCAAGUGGGAGAGUUCCAGAGAGAAAGGGGCAGGAUUCGAGCAACCCACGAGCCGCCGCCCUCCUUCACGACGUCGUCCGAGCCACCGCCACUCGACCCCUCGACACACCAGCAACCAGCCGAGCCCCCUGCCUGUUGUCCUCCGUCCAAGUCGCCACCAUAAACCCAGAACCAGAUCUGAAGCAGACGAGAAGGAGGGGGGAGAGCUCGAGCAGUGAGAGAAAGUGGGAGCAAGAAGAGGGAAGGAACAGAGCGAGAGAAGACUAGAAAGAGGGAGAAGAGAGAACCGAAGGAGAGGGAGAAGAAAAGAGCCUCCUCCUGCCGCCCUCUGGCCGCCCCUGCUCGCCCAAUACCGCCGCCACCAGCGACGCCUCCUCCAAGCCGUGGAGCCGCUGAUCGCCUCCUCAGCUGAGCCGACGCCCUUGUCGCCGUGCCCCAGCCACCGGUCGCCGCUCCCAGUCCCCUCGCCGGGGUAGUGACCAGCAGCAGCUCGAAGCCGUGACGCCACUGCAGCACCUGCAGCCGCAACGACCACCGCGCCAGCAACCGGAGCCCUCCUCCGCCGGACACCGCCGCUACCCUCUGCCGCUGACGCUGCUCCUUCGAUCCCGUCGCGGCACCAGCACCGUGCCGUUGCUACCCGUGCCGCCACCACCCG
rnacentral:lncRNA from 1 species